GAGAGCACAGUACGAUGAAAGUUGUAAGCUGUGUUAGGGGGGGAGUUAUUGUCUAUCGUUGGCCUCUAUGGUAUAACCCGUCGGGAGGCCUGAGAGGCGGUGGUUUACCCUGU
rnacentral:ncRNA from 1 species